UACGAAGGGGGCUAGCGUUGCUCGGAAUUACUGGGCGUAAAGCGCACGUAGGCGGCUUUCUAAGUCGGGGGUGAAAUCCUGGAGCUCAACUCCAGAACUGCCUUCGAUACUGGAGAGCUUGAGUCCGGGAGAGGUGAGUGGAACUGCGAGUGUAGAGGUGAAAUUCGUAGAAUAUUCGCAAGAACACCAGUGGCGAAAGGCGGCUCACUGGCCCGGUACUGACGCUGAGGUGCGAAAGCGUGGGAGCAAACAGG
rnacentral:rRNA from 1 species